GAAGGUUAAAAACGCAACUCAAAUAUAUGAUUUAACAAUCAGAACUUGGUCUACAAAGCAAGGAAGCAAAUAAAUGACGGAAUAUUUCAGUUUCCUGAAAGGCUGGUGGUGAGAAGUAGACCAGUAUCCCUGUCUCACUAUGGAUUGCAGCAAACAUGCGACCGUACUGAAGAAAUUUGUUGAGAAUGAUAGAGAAUACCAAUAUUAUGGCAGUUUUUAAUUACAGAAUAUAAUUAGCUAAGAGUUCAGCUCGUGG
rnacentral:lncRNA from 1 species